CACUGCCGAGAAAAGCCUCUAGAUAGAAAAUAGGUGCCCGUACCGCAAACCGACACAGGUAGUCAAGAUGAGAAUUCUAAGGUGAGCGAGCGAACUCUCGUUAAGGAACUCGGCAAAAUGACCCCGUAACUUCGGGAGAAGGGGUGCUCUUUAGGGUUAACGCCCAGAAGAGCCGCAGUGAAUAGGCCCAAGCGACUGUUUAUCAAAAACACAGGUCUCUGCUAAACCGUAAGGUGAUGUAUAGGGGCUGACGCCUGCCCGGUGCUGGAAGGUUAAGAGGAGUGGUUAGCUUCUGCGAAGCUACGAAUCGAAGCCCCAGUAAACGGCGGCCGUAACUAUAACGGUCCUAAGGUAGCGAAAUUCCUUGUCGGGUAAGUUCCGACCCGCACGAAAGGCGUAACGAUUUGGGCACUGUCUCAACGAGAGACUCGGUGAAAUCAUAGUACCUGUGAAGAUGCAGGUUACCCGCGACAGGACGGAAAGACCCCGUGGAGCUUUACUGUAGCCUGAUAUUGAAAUUCGGCACAGCUUGUACAGGAUAGGUAGGAGCCUUUGAAACGUGAGCGCUAGCUUACGUGGAGGCGCUGGUGGGAUACUACCCUAGCUGUGUUGGCUUUCUAACCCGCACCACUUAUCGUGGUGGGAGACAGUGUCAGGCGGGCAGUUUGACUGGGGCGGUCGCCUCCUAAAAGGUAACGGAGGCGCUCAAAGGUUCCCUCAGAAUGGUUGGAAAUCAUUCAUAGAGUGUAAAGGCAUAAGGGAGCUUGACUGCGAGACCUACAAGUCGAGCAGGGUCGAAAGACGGACUUAGUGAUCCGGUGGUUCCGCAUGGAAGGGCCAUCGCUCAACGGAUAAAAGCUACCCCGGGGAUAACAGGCUUAUCUCCCCCAAGAGUUCACAUCGACGGGGAGGUUUGGCACCUCGAUGUCGGCUCAUCGCAUCCUGGGGCUGUAGUCGGUCCCAAGGGUUGGGCUGUUCGCCCAUUAAAGCGGUACGCGAGCUGGGUUCAGAACGUCGUGAGACAGUUCGGUCCCUAUCCGUCGUGGGCGUAGGAAAUUUGAGAGGAGCUGUCCUUAGUACGAGAGGACCGGGAUGGACAUACCUCUGGUGUACCAGUUGUCGUGCCAACGGCAUAGCUGGGUAGCUAUGUGUGGACGGGAUAAGUGCUGAAAGCAUCUAAGCAUGAAGCCCCCCUCAAGAUGAGAUUUCCCAACUUCGGUUAUAAGAUCCCUCAAAGAUGAUGAGGUUAAUAGGUUCGAGGUGGAAG
rnacentral:rRNA from 1 species